rnacentral:rRNA from 1 species
UCUCAGAGAUUAAGCCAUGCAUGUCUAAGUACAUACCUUUAAACGGUGAAACCGCGAAUGGCUCAUUAAAUCAGCUAUGGUUCCUUGGAUCGUACAUACUACAUGGAUAACUGUAGUAAUUCUAGAGCUAAUACAUGCCACUAUGCCCUGACCCGCAAGGGAACGGGUGGAUUUAUUAGAACAGAACCAACCGGGGACGGCUUCGGUCGUUCCUGUUGCAAUCUGUGAUGACUCUGGAUAACUUCACUGAUCGCAGUCGGCCUUGUGUCGGCGACGGAUCUUUCAAAUGUCUGCCCUAUCAAUUUUCGAUGGUAGGUGACCUGCCUACCAUGGUUCUAACGGGUAACGGGGAAUCAGGGUUCGAUUCCGGAGAGGGAGCCUGAGAAACGGCUACCACUUCCAAGGAAGGCAGCAGGCACGCAAAUUACCCAAUCCCGGCACGGGGAGGUAGUGACGAAAAAUACGGAUACGGGACUCUAUAGAGGCUCCGUAAUUCGAAUGAGUACAAUUUAAAUCCUUUAACGAGGAUCAACUGGAGGGCAAGUCUGGUGCCAGCAGCCG